rnacentral:misc_RNA from 1 species
AAGUCGUAACAAGGUUUCCGUAGGUGAACCUGCGGAAGGAUCAUUACAAAACAAAAUCCAAACCACACCAAUGUGCUCUUAAUUGCAAAAGAAAAAUUGCAAGUCUUUGUGUGUGUUGUUGUUUGUUUGUUUGCUUGUGGGUGGGGGGAGAGAAAAAGUGGGGUCACACUUGCUUUUUUUUCUUCACUCACACACACACACACACACACAUGCACACACAAGCUUCUUUUUCUCUUUUGCAAGUCUUUGAUUUUCAAUUUUUCAUUAACUCCUUGUUUAACCAACAACGGAUUACAAUGUUAAAACUUGAAACAAAAACAAAAACAAAAUGACAACUUUUAACGGUGGAUCUCUUGGCUCGU